rnacentral:rRNA from 1 species
GACGAACGCUGGCGGCGUGCUUAACACAUGCAAGUCGAACGGAAAGGCCCUGCUUUUGUGGGGUGCUCGAGUGGCGAACGGGUGAGUAACACGUGAGUAACCUGCCCUUGACUUUGGGAUAACUUCAGGAAACUGGGGCUAAUACCGGAUAGGAGCUCCUGCUGCAUGGUGGGGGUUGGAAAGUUUCGGCGGUUGGGGAUGGACUCGCGGCUUAUCAGCUUGUUGGUGGGGUAGUGGCUUACCAAGGCUUUGACGGGUAGCCGGCCUGAGAGGGUGACCGGCCACAUUGGGACUGAGAUACGACCCAGACUCGUAGUGGAGGCAGCAGUGCAGAAUAUUACACAAUGGGCGGAAGCCUGAUGCAGCAACGCCGCGUGCGGGAUGACGGCCUUCGGGUUGUAAACCGCUUUCGCCUGUGACGAAGCGUGAGUGACGGUAAUGGGUAAAGAAGCACCGGCUAACUACGUG